rnacentral:rRNA from 1 species
CUGCUGCCUUCCGUAGGAGUCUGGGCCGUGUCUCAGUCCCAAUGUGGCCGGCCAACCUCUCAGUCCGGCUACUGAUCGUCGCCUUGGUGGGCCGUUACCCCGCCAACUAGCUAAUCAGACGCGAGUCCAUCUCAGAGCGAUAAAUCUUUGGCGGUCAGAGCCAUGCGACUCAACUGCAUCAUGCGGUAUUAGCAGCUGUUUCCAACUGUUAUUCCCCACUCCAAGGCAGGUUACU